rnacentral:rRNA from 1 species
UACGGAGGGGGCUAGCGUUGUUCGGAAUUACUGGGCGUAAAGCGCACGUAGGCGGCUUUGCAAGUUAGGGGUGAAAGCCCGGGGCUCAACUCCGGAAUUGCCUUUAAAACUGCAUCGCUAGAAUUGUGGAGAGGUAAGUGGAAUUCCGAGUGUAGAGGUGAAAUUCGUAGAUAUUCGGAAGAACACCAGUGGCGAAGGCGACUUACUGGACACAUAUUGACGCUGAGGUGCGAAAGCGUGGGGAGCAAACAGG